AAGCUGCCGCAGCAGUGCAAGGCGCCUGGCAUCCAGCAUCGCCUCCCCGAGGCCGGCUGUGAGCUGUGUGAUUAUCACUGGGGACAGAGCAGCCUCUCCUGCGACUGUGGCCGCCUCUCCCUUCCCCGCUGCUCCCUUGUGGUGGAGGUGACGAUAGUGAACGUGGGUGUCGCCGAAGAGAGGAGACGAUCAGGAUAAAGCUGCUGUUGCAAACAACACGUGUUUCCAGGACCCUCUGCACCAGCACGUCUGCACUGGAGCAUCCACACUGCCCUGGGAUGCCCUUCCCGGGCCCUGCCUGGAGUGUGGUUAUGCCCGACGGUCAGCCGGCGCCCGGGGCACCAGUCCACAUGCCACCCGUGCCUGCUGUCCUCUGUGCUGCAUUAGUGGGGACACUCGAAGGGCACACCGUGGGAGGAGAGAACGAAAGGAAGCUGCCUUCCCCUGGGCUCGCAGCAGCUUUCUGCCAGAGAAGACAAGGGAGAGGCUUCAGAAGUCACUUUUCCAAGUCGGGUUUGCUCGGGAGCACUCACACUCAAGCUGUGACCUAAGAACAGGAGGAAUGAAGCGUGUGUUUUGCCGAGUUUCAGUUGGUGUCAGCCGGUUCCAGAGGGGCCCAAGAAGCCAUGGUUUGCGUCUGUCCCCGUGGCCUCUGUCCGGAUGACCGUUCCUGCCACCGCCCAGCUGGGCUCUUCUCAUUAACCCGGUCACACCGCCAGCCCGAUAAGCCAGAAGAGAGGGAGGGUGGAGCUGAACCCCUGCAAGUUCUGCUCUUUGUCUGAGCAGACAAGAUAAGGAGGAAGCUGGGCUUUUCUAACAAGCCGGCCUGGCAAGGCCACGUGGUCAUUUCCGAGCGUCCGGCAUCUGCAGGAAUCCUGUCGAUUUGGCAGUGGAGUCACUGUCCUCAGAAAACAGGGGCGAGCUGUCGCUGUCGCUGGGGAGCAGGCGACGAUCCUGAGCCCCUUUGAGAUCCAGCUGCGGAGGCUGCCUGGGGCUGCCACAGAGAGAUUUUCCUUCUGAGCAGCUGACCCCUUUGCUCAUCAGAAUUACAAAAGUUCUGGCGGCCAGUGACUCCCCAAAGCUGCGGCUGCUUUCCGACAAGGACAGCCAUCAGCGCAUGGGGGCCGUGAGUGCUCGUAUUGCAUGCUUGGAGAUUGUAGAAAUCAACUCGAACAGCAUCAAGUUGUGCCCUUUCACCAGAAGGAUGUGAAAAAAAACAAAUAAUGAUUCAUCAGCACUGUUUUUUUUUUUUAAAUAGAAAUAAUACCCCCCCCAAAAAAAGCGCUACUCAGUGAAUUUGUAAAUUAAAGCGAGGAGAUGCUUACUUAAAAUUUUUAAAGGCCCCACAUAUCCGAUAGUCCAAACCAAGAAUGCUAUGUGGCGCUGAUACGGAUUUCUUUUCUCCGAUCCGAAUAUACAAAGUAUUAUAUGUUAUAUUGACAUUCCGCCUAAAUCUUUCCCUUAUAAGGUGUUUGACAUAAAUAGCUUUUAUUAUGUAAUUCUGAAAUAGAAGGAAUACACACGUUUCUUAAAGGUCCCAGCUGUUAUUGUUAUCAUUUGGGACAUAAAAUUGGAAUCCCAACUUCCAAUAUCAAAUUUUAGCACAAACCCUAUAAAAUCUAUCUUGUCAGAAUGUGCCAGAACCUCUAAGCCCUUCUCGGCUGAACGAAUUGCAGCUGGUGCUUCAACCUUAAGGUAGAGAAUCGACUUGGCGUGUGGGGUGUAGGCAGCAAACUGGCCCUGGUUUUCGCCCGGCUGCCGAGCCGGCUGGGGAAGGCGUGGGUUUAGAUUAGCCGUGUCCUACGCCGCUUGACGGGGUGACACGGGUCUGCAGGGCCGAGCCCGGGGCCUGGAGAUAGGACCCGCCAGCAGGAAUGCAGGGAAUGUUUUUCUUCGGACUCUAUCGAGGCACACAGACCAUGGGGAUUCUGUCCGCGGUGACAGCCUUAACAUUUGCCAGAGCCCUGGACGCCGCUGUAGAAAUGGCAUUGCCCACCCUGGAAGUGAGAAGUGGGAGAGAGCACAUGGAUGCAGUGGAGAAGGUGGAGAGGGAGAAUUUCAAGCAGGCUCCACACUGAGCAUGGAGCCCAACGUGGGACUCAGUCUCAUGACCCUGAGAUCAUGAACAGAGCCGAAAUCAAGCAUUGGACACUUAACUGAUGGAGGCACCCAGGCAUCCCUCUGGUUCCACUCUCGAGGGUUUGUCCCACCUUAAGAGCUCAUAGGCUUUUUCAGAAGCCUGUGCAGUUUGGUUCACCCUCUGCAGCACUGUCCGCAGUAGUAGAAGCCUGGACACAGCCUAGAUGCUGGUUCACAGGCUGGAGUGGAGAGGGGAGGCAAGCCGAUAAACCAAGGCCCAUCCCAAAAUGGAAAGUGGUGUAGUCUUCAGAACAAAGAGGCGGAUUCGCAAAGGCAGCAGUCACUGGGACACGUCACUCAGUGGGAGCCCCCGGGUGCAAAAAAGUCUGCAUGCCGACUGCUCCCCAUGAUGAGCCAGCUGACAUCGGGCUCACGUUCAGCCUCCUUUUCCUCCUCACUUUGUCCAUCUGUACAGUGGGGAUGAUGACAGCACCCACCCUGCAGGGCCAUGGAAGAGAUGUCAUGAACCUGUAUGUAUCAAACACCAACAUAGGAUGGUGCUUACAUGAAGCAAAGGCUGUACGAUACUAGUUAUUAUUACUGUAUCAUUGCCAUCAUUGGAAAGAGAGCACAUAUAUGCUGAGGUAGGCUUUGAAAGCUCCUGGAAGGGUGCCCAGAACCAUAGGUGCCAGGGAUUGCUCUGCCAGGGAAACCGAGAGACUGAGGAGAGGGUGAGGUAGAGGAAUAUCUAUUGUUAACUUGUGUCUUUUGAAUUUCUAUCAAGAAUUUUUCUUCCCUAUUUUUUCAAUCUUUUUAAUGAAAAUUUGUAAGUAUGAAGAAAAGUUGAAGAAUUGUACAGUGAACAUCCGUGUACCUACCGUCUUAGCUCUGCAGUUAGUAUGUUGCUGUACUUGGUUUACCAUCCAUCCAUCCAUCCACCCACCCAUCCAUCCCCUAUCUACCAUCCAUCCAUCCACCCACCCAUCCAUCCCCUAUCCACCAUCCAUCUAUCCAUCCACCCAUCUAUCUACCCAUCCGUCCAUCCAUCCAUCCAUCCAUCCACUCAUCCAUCCCCCAUCCAUCCAUCUUUCAUCAAACCCUCUUAUUUUUGAUGCAUUUCAAAGCAAACUGCAGCUAGUAGUAUACCCCCUGCUCCAGAUUCUUUUGCACAGCUAACAAUUAGCCAGAGUUCAGUAGCUGUCUAUGAGGGGUUUUUUUUUAUGCCAAAUGUACAUAA